rnacentral:rRNA from 1 species
UGGGGAACCUGCCCCAUAGUCUGGGAUACCACUUGGAAACAGGUGCUAAUACCGGAUAAGAAAGCAGAUCGCAUGAUCAGCUUUUAAAAGGNGGCGUAAGCUGUCGCUAUGGGAUGGCCCCGCGGUGCAUUAGCUAGUUGGUAAGGUAAAGGCUUACCAAGGCGAUGAUGCAUAGCCGAGUUGAGAGACUGAUCGGCCACAUUGGGACUGAGACACGGCCCAAACUCCUACGGGAGGCAGCAGGC